UAGUGGCGAACGGGUGAGUAACGCGUGAGCAAUCUGCCCUUGGGAGGGGGAUAACGUCGGGAAACUGACGCUAAUACCGCAUAACGCACAGAGGGGACAUCCCCCCUGUGCCAAAGGAGAAAUCCACCCAGGGAUGAGCUCGCGUCUGAUUAGCUAGUUGGUGAGGUAAUGGCUCACCAAGGCGACGAUCAGUAGCCGGACUGAGAGGUCGAACGGCCACAUUGGGACUGAGACACGGCCCAGACUCCUACGGGAGGCAGCAAUGGGGAAUAUUGCGCAAUGGGGGAAACCCUGACGCAGCAACGCCGCGUGAAGAAUGAAGGCCUUCGGGUUGUAAACUUUUGUCUUCAGGGAAGAAAAAAAUGACGGUACCUGAAAAGGAAGCCACGGCUAACUACGUGCCAGCAGCCGCGGUAAUACGUAGGUGGCAAGCGUUGUCCGGAAUUACUGGGUGUAAAGGGUGCGUAGGCGGGUGACCAAGUCAGGUGUGAAAUGCCGCAGCUUAACUGCGGAGCUGCACUUGAAACUGGACAUCUUGAGUGGAGUAGAGGCAAGCGGAAUUCCCAGUGUAGCGGUGAAAUGCGUAGAUAUUGGGAGGAACACCAGUGGCGAAAGGCGGCUUGCUGGGCUCUAACUGACGCUGAGGCACGAAAGUGUGGGGAGCAAACAGGAUUAGAUACCCUGGUAGUCCACACUGUAAACGAUGAUACUAGGGUUGGGGGGGGGGUAUUGACCCCUCCGUGCGGAGUACACAUAGUAUCCCACUGGGGGAGUACGGCCGCAAGUGAACUCAAAGG
rnacentral:rRNA from 1 species